GUGGGGAAUAUUGGACAAUGGGCGAAAGCCUGAUCCAGCCAUGCCGCGUGUGUGAAGAAGGUCUUCGGAUUGUAAAGCACUUUAAGUUGGGAGGAAGGGCAGUAAGUUAAUACCUUGCUGUUUUGACGUUACCGACAGAAUAAGCACCGGCUAACUUCGUGCCAGCAGCCGCGGUAAUACGAAGGGUGCAAGCGUUAAUCGGAAUUACUGGGCGUAAAGCGCGCGUAGGUGGCUUUGUAAGUUGGAGGUGAAAUCCCCGGGCUCAACCUGGGAACUGCCUCCAAAACUGCAUGACUAGAGUACGGUAGAGGGUAGUGGAAUUUCCUGUGUAGCGGUGAAAUGCGUAGAUAUAGGAAGGAACACCAGUGGCGAAGGCGACUACCUGGACUGAUACUGACACUGAGGUGCGAAAGCGUGGGGAGCAAACAGGAUUAGAAACCCGUGUAGUCC
rnacentral:rRNA from 1 species